rnacentral:rRNA from 1 species
UCUGGUUGAUCCUGCCAGUGCGCAUACGCUCUUUUUAAAGACUAAGCCAUGCAUAUGCCGAGUUCAUACAUUGAGAAUGUGAGACUGUGGAAGGCUCAGUAUAUCAGUUAUAAUCUGCUCGAUUGUUGAGGUUAGUGGAUAACCGUGGGAAAUCUAGAGCUAAUACAUGCAGUUGGGCGCGUGGGUGACUAUGCGUCUGGCAUUUAUUAGACUGAAUCCAACCGUGUCAGGGUCACUGGAAACUGGCAUGUGGUGAAUCUAGAUAACUGUGCAAAUCGUAUGGCCUCGAGCUGGCGAUGUUUCGAUUGAAUUUCUGCCCUAUCAACUUUUGUCGGCAGUUUAGUGGACUGCCGAGGUUGUUACGGGUAACGGGGGAUCAGGGUUCGAUUCCGGAGAGGGAGCCUGAGAAACGGCUACCACAUCCAAGGAAGGCAGCAGGCGCGCAAAUUACCCAAUCCAGACAAUGGGAGGUGGUGACGAAAAGUACCGAUUGACGGCCUUGUGCUUGUCAGUUUGGAAUGGAAACAAUUUAAGAAAUUGGUUUGAGUAACGACUGGAGGGCAAGUCUGGUGCCAGCAGCCGCGGUAAUUCCAGCUCCAGUAGCGUAUCUCAAAGUUGCUGCGCUUAAAACGCUCGUAGUUGGAUCAACUUGCGUUUGUGAGUGAGUUUGCAAAACUGCGCUUCUGUUUGGGCAUAGCACAGUUGCACGUUCUCGUGUGAUUGGGCUGCCGGACGGCAAAGUGUUUGCUACUUGAAAGCUCGCAGAUGAAAUUUGCAUGUGAGGAUGGUGGUUGACCUUGAGUGCGUUGGCCAUCGUGUCUCACGGAGUGUGCCUUGAGUAAAUCAGAGUGCUAAAGCAGGCAGUGAUGCUUGAAUGUUGAUAGCAUGGAACGAACAAUCGUGUAUGGUGUGUGCUAUGUACAGUGCGUCGGUGUGAAAGCAUUGGCGUACUUUAGCCACGACACCGACCGCCAAUUACGGAUGUUGGUUCCGUAUUGGGGUACUGAUUAAGAGGAGCGGUUGGGGGCAUUGGUAUUUGGCAGCGAGAGGUGGAAUUCUUAGACCUGCCAAGGACUAACAAAUGCGAAGGCAUCUGUCCAGACCGUAUCCAUUAAUCAAGAACGAAAGUGAGAGGUUCGAAGACGAUCAGAUACCGUCCUAGUUCUCACUGUAAACCAUGCCGACCCGGGAUCAGUUUGGAGCAAGUAUCCACGCUCGAGGUUGGUCCCCCUGGGAAACCUAAAGUUUUUCGGUUGCGGGGGGAGUAUGGUCGCAAGGCUGAAACUUAAAGGAAUUGACGGAAGGACACCACCAGGGGUGGAGCCUGCGGCUUAAUUUGACUCAACACGGGAAAACUUACCUGGUCCGGACGUCAAAAGGAUAAACAGAUUUGCGAUCUUUUUUGAUAUGAUGAUUGGUGGUGCAUGGCCGUUCUUAGUUCGUGGAGUGAUUUGUCAGGCCGAUUCCGGUAACGGACGAGACCACAAUCUCCAUUUUAUGCGCCAAAGAAGCCAAAAUUUGUGCUUGCCGCUCGAAAGAGUGCGUGGCAGAGAGCUUGUCGUUGACGAAUGGCGAAGCUUUGAAACGUUGUUUUGCGCUUUCGGGUGCAGGACGACGGAGAAGGGUGGCUGCCAGGUUGUUGCUUUGGUGAAACAGUGUGCUGAUCGCGAGAUGAGUGCCCUGUAUGAUUGAGAGACAACGGAAUAUAUUGCAAAAUCCGAGGAAGUGUGGCUAUAACAGGUCUGUGAUGCCCUUAGAUGUUCAGGGCUGCACGCGCGCUACAAUGGCGGUGACAGCAAGUGUCUGGAUCGAGAGAUUUGGGUAAUCUUGAAUCACCGCCGUGAUGGGGAUCGACGUUUGUAAUUACGUCGUGAAAUAGGAAUCCCUAGUACGUGCAAUUCAUGAAAUUGCGCGGAUUUAGUCCCUGCCCUUUGUACACACCGCCCGUCGCUACUACCGAGUGAAUGGUGCCAUAAUGCCUUGGGAGCGGACGUCGUUACUGGGUUUACGCCCGGGAGGACGCUGCAAUCAGCGUAGAAUGGUGCAAUUUCGAGGAAGUAAAAGUCGUAACAGUUUCCCUGUAGAAGAAA